rnacentral:rRNA from 1 species
ACGAACGCUGGCGGCACGCUUAACACAUGCAAGUCGAACGAGAGAAGAGAAGCUUGCUUUUCUGAUCUAGUGGCGGACGGGUGAGUAACACGUGAGCAAUCUGCCUUUCAGAGGGGGAUACCGAUUGGAAACGAUCGUUAAUACCGCAUAAUAUAAUUGAACCGCAUGAUUUGAUUAUCAAAGAUUUAUCGCUGAAAGAUGAGCUCGCGUCUGAUUAGCUAGUUGGUAAGGUAACGGCUUACCAAGGCGACGAUCAGUAGCCGGACUGAGAGGUUGAUCGGCCACAUUGGGACUGAGACACGGCCCAGACUCCUACGGGAGGCAGCAGUGGGGAAUAUUGCACAAUGGAGGAAGCUCUGAUGCAGCGAUGCCGCGUGAGGGAAGAAGGUUUUAGGAUUGUAAACCUCUGUCUUCAGGGACGAAAAAAGACGGUACCUGAGGAGGAAGCUCCGGCUAACUACGUGCCAGCAGCCGCGGUAAUACGUAGGGAGCGAGCGUUGUCCGGAAUUACUGGGUGUAAAGGGAGCGUAGGCGGGAUCGCAAGUCAGAUGUGAAAACUAUGGGCUUAACCCAUAAACUGCAUUUGAAACUGUGGUUCUUGAGUGAAGUAGAGGUAAGCGGAAUUCCUAGUGUAGCGGUGAAAUGCGUAGAUAUUAGGAGGAACAUCAGUGGCGAAGGCGGCUUACUGGGCUUUAACUGACGCUGAGGCUCGAAAGCGUGGGGAGCAAACAGGAUUAGAUACCCUGGUAGUCCACGCCGUAAACGAUGAUUACUAGGUGUGGGGGGACUGACCCCUUCCGUGCCGCAGCAAACGCAAUAAGUAAUCCACCUGGGGAGUACGACCGCAAGGUUGAAACCCAAAGGAAUUGACGGGGGCCCGCACAAGCAGUGGAGUAUGUGGAUUAAUUCGAAGCAACGCGAAGAACCUUACCAGGUCUUGACAUCGUAUGCAUAGCUCAGAGAUGAGUGAAAUCUCUUCGGAGACAUAUAGACAGGUGGUGCAUGGUUGUCGUCAGCUCGUGUCGUGAGAUGUUGGGUUAAGUCCCGCAACGAGCGCAACCCUUACUGUUAGUUGCUACGCAAGAGCACUCUAGCAGGACUGCCGUUGACAAAACGGAGGAAGGUGGGGAUGACGUCAAAUCAUCAUGCCCCUUAUGACCUGGGCCUCACACGUACUACAAUGGCUGUUAACAGAGGGAUGCAAAGCCGCGAGGUGGAGCGAACCCCUAAAAGCAGUCUUAGUUCGGAUUGUAGGCUGCAACCCGCCUACAUGAAGUCGGAAUUGCUAGUAAUCGCAGAUCAGCAUGCUGCGGUGAAUACGUUCCCGGGCCUUGUACACACCGCCCGUCACGCCAUGGGAGUCGGUAACACCCGAAGCCUGUAGUCUAACCGCAAGGAGGACGCAGUCGAAGGUGGGAUUGAUGACUGGGGUG